GAUGAACGCUGGCGGCGUGCCUAAUACAUGCAAGUCGAACGCUGGAAAUCUAGCUUGCUAGAUUGAAGGAGUGGCGAACGGGUGAGUAAUACAUAAGCAACCUACCCACGAAGACUGGGAUAAUCUCUGGAAACGGGGACUAAUACCGGAUAGGUAAUCGGAAGGCAUCUUCUGAUUAUUAAAGGUUAAAAACACUGGUGGAUGGGCUUAUGGCGCAUUAGUUAGUUGGUGAGGUAACGGCCCACCAAGACGAUGAUGCGUAGCCGGCCUGAGAGGGUGAACGGCCACAUUGGGACUGCGACACCGCCCAGACUCCUACGGGAGGCAGCAGUAGGGAAUUUUCGGCAAUGGGGGAAACCCUGACCGAGCAACGCCGCGUGCGUGAUGACGGCCUUCGGGUUGUAAAGCUCUGUGGUAAGGGAAGAACGGUAGAUAGAGAAUAUCUAAAUGACGGUACCUUACCAGAACGCCACGGCUAACUACGUG
rnacentral:rRNA from 1 species